UGGGGAAUAUUGCACAAUGGGCGCAAGCCUGAUGCAGCCAUGCCGCGUGUGUGAAGAAGGCCUUCGGGUUGUAAAGCACUUUCAGCGAGGAGGAAGGUGGUGAACUUAAUACGUUCAUCAAUUGACGUUACUCGCAGAAGAAGCACCGGCUAACUCCGUGCCAGCAGCCGCGGUAAUACGGAGGGUGCAAGCGUUAACCGGAAUUACUGGGCGUAAAGCGCACGCAGGCGGUUUGUUAAGUCAGAUGUGAAAUCCCCGGGCUCAACCUGGGAACUGCAUUUGAAACUGGCAAGCUAGAGUCUCGUAGAGGGGGGUAGAAUUCCAGGUGUAGCGGUGAAAUGCGUAGAGAUCUGGAGGAAUACCGGUGGCGAAGGCGGCCCCCCUGGACGAAGACUGACGCUCAGGUGCGAAAGCGUGGGGAGCAAACAGGAUUAGAUACCCCUGGUAGUCCACGCUGUAAACGAUGUCGAUUUGGAGGUUGUGCCCUUGAGGCGUGGCUUCCGGAGCUAACGCGUUAAAUCGACCGCCUGGGGAGUACGGCCGCAAGGUUAAAACUCAAAUGAAUUG
rnacentral:rRNA from 1 species